AGUAGGGAGGGAGCGGUGGAGGGAAAGAUGAGGCACGGGAGACCGGCGGAGUCACUCAGCCCUCCUCGCUCCAGAAGUGCGCCUUCUGCCAAUCCGAGGGCCGCCUGGGGGUGAUGGACGCAAGCGUGUGCCCAAUGAGGAGCAGAAGGUGUCGCUCCGAACCACAGGGGAAGGAGUGGGCGGGCCAAGGUCCUCCCCCCUCUCCGGCACCCAGGUCCUCCCUCCCGCCCUGUUCAGCCUUAUUCCAUGAUGUCAGCCUGCAUCCUGAGUUCACCUAAGAAAAUGAACCAACCUGCGGACUUCCUAUAGUGCCCAGAAUGUGUGCGCAUUGCCCCUCGGUCUGUAUGUGAACUGAGACUCUGCUGAUCCCAUGUGGUUAAGACUUGAUUGGACUCAGCUGGGCUUUGCUCCAGGACACAGGUUAAGUUCAGGCUUUGGUGCUGGUUCCUCUGAAGAAAACCAUCCUGGCAAAGUCCUGCACCCAGUCCUGUUGUUAUGUUGAAGGGUAACAGCACACACCUACAUGAACUUAUACCUGCAAUAUGAUUUUGCAAUAGCCUGCUGUCUUUCCUGCUGAAAGAGCUUGAGAUGAAGCUUGUACAGAAUGAGCAGCAGUGUUUGGGAGUGAGGCAAGUGUUUGACGGACUGCCAGAUGAGCCAAGUUUAAGUACAAGCUGUGACCUUGAGACUUCAUUCCCCUCCCUGGCUGUCACUGAUUAGUUCGGAGGGGCACCUGACCAAAGCUGGACCAAUCAGAAAGCUUGCUUGAGAUGUUUUGUUUGUUUGUUUUUGUUGUUGAACUGGAACUGUGAAAAGCGUGACCAUCUCUGGGUAAAGUGUGUAGAAUGGGGCUCACAACCACUCGGCAGUCCUGGUUCUGCCACAUAAAGUUGAAGUGCUAACGUGCAGUGAAAAGCAGAUGUAGGAGAUCACUCUGGUGGCAUUUGGACCAUGAGACCCAUGUAUAUUGCCUGAUCUGCUGUCAAAUGGGACACUAAGAUUGAUUCCAAUCCACUCUCCCUUUUGCCUAAGAUGUUUUGAGAUGGUAUUCUGUCAAUCAUAAAAUCCAUAUUCCUGACUGAUACAGACUAGUUUCUAAGAUCCCUUUAGCUCUAAAUGUCUAUGCUGUUAUACAAAAAAUAAAUGAAUGGCAUUCAAAUAGGGCUAUUUCUCGCAACCUUGUUUAGGUGUAUGGAAUAAUCAAAGAUUUUUAAAAAGAACCCUCAUUUAAUUCACAAGUGUAGAAUAGAUUCAGGAUUCUUUAUAGCCUUUUAUUUGAUCUAAGUGAGAGAAAUAAAUAGGUCAAGAGCUGGUGUUUUGGUGAACUGUGAGGAAAUCGGCCAUUAAACUAUAAAAAUUGAUUUCAAAACUGUUGAUGUAGUGACCUGAUUUUGAAAUUGAAGCCAUUUUUUUCGUAUGCCCAGUAUAACACAAGAGGGAGAUUAGUAACUUUGGCUUGAUGAAGACCAAGAGUUUAGAAACACUCGAUCUAGUGUCACUACUCAAAAUUCCCCAGUUUCUCUACAGUACCUAGUUAGCAAUGAGUGAGUGAAAUCUUUUCUUUCUUUUGGUUUAAGCAGAUAUAGCUAUCUGAUUCUCCACUUCUGAUUUCCACUCUAAUACAUCCAUCCGUCUGUGUAUUAUUAAAAAUAACUUAUAGUUAACUUAAAACAAAAAUUUUUUUUGGUUUCUUAGCAUUCAUGAAUUUCAAUAUACAAAACUCUAUAAUUUUUCCCAUGAUAAAAUAACUCAGGACUGCCUGGUAACAAUAAAUCUUCCU